GAUGGAAUCUUAGAGCAAGGUUUUGUUCACUUAUUUCAGCUUGUGACCUUUUCCGUAGUAAUGUUGAAACCUUAUGCAUGCAUAAAGGCGAAUCUAUUAUUAUAAAAGAGGAUCAAUUCACCCCUCUUUUUUCUUAUAUUUUGGUUGUAAUCUGGAUUAGAUAUUUACAUAUUGGUUGGAUCUGGAUCAGAUUCACCUAGACCUUAGC
rnacentral:misc_RNA from 1 species